AGACACCCUUGUGGGGCAAGACUUGCUUCAGUGGGGCUUUGGUGCUCACUGAGUCUGCCCCCUGAGUGUGUCCCU
rnacentral:pre_miRNA from 1 species